CGGAGAACCACGACCUUAUCCUUCGAGGGUUAACCCUGCCGGACCCAUGACCUUACCACGGGAAGGAAAGCUACAACCCGACAGGUCGGGGAGGAAAGCCACGGCUCCAGCGGCGGACGAGCGAACAACGCGCCGUCGACCAAGAUCCGCCGCCGCCGCCUCCUCCGCCUCCGAGCUCCUUCCGCCGAUGGCAGAAGCGAGGUGUUCAUGAUCCAAUGUCCUCCCCUCCAGCGACGGCUACUAACCGCGGCCGUCACCGUCCUCCUUCCCCGGAUCUCCCCUCCACCUCGAAGCUUCGACCCCCUCUAGCGACCAUGACGGCGACAGUUCUUUGGUCAUUUUCUACCUCCUCCGGUCAAGGAAGUGAGCACCGCCUUGUUCUCUCAAAUCAUUCCCACCAUUGCCAAUCACCGGUUUCCUAAAGCUAACCAAUGAAAAUGUUCAAAGAAGUUGAUGGUGGAAGUUUCAGUAGAGUGAUUAUUCCAGUGACAAUGCAUUUCAGCAUGGAUCAGUCACAUAUGCACAUCUUUUUAAUGGAACUAAAUGUGUCGUUCCCCUCCUUGGAGGCGUCGGUAUGGACUGAUCCUCUCACUUCCCCUGCCCCUAGGUCUCCCGGGCGAAAGCCCUAACUUUGUUGGGCGGCGGCGGUGCUCUCGGCGCUGUUCCCUUCUUGAAGGCUCCGCUUUGUGAGCCUUGUGGUCUGCUGGCGUUUGUGGGUGGUGGGCGGCAGCGACGGUGUGGCCCUCUUGUCCUAACGUGAAACUUCCCCCUUCGGUGUUGGAUGUGUGCAGCAGCGAUGUUCUGCUCAAGGAGAGCCUCCGGCGUCUUGUUGGGGAUGCACUGACCUUCUCUAUGUGGCCAUCUUCCAGCGGCAUCCGUCUCAUCUUGCGACAGUGCGGCGCCUUCGAUCCAGGCAAGCAGGUAGUGGCCUUCUUCGAAGAUGGUGUACCUGAUGUGUCGUGUCGAGGCCCGUAGGUGCAUGGUGACAGCAUAUGCCCCGCUGGUGUCGGCCCCUCUCUCCUCCGAGCCAGUGUGAUAUUGUUCUUGGUGCAGCAUUCUUGGAGAAGGUCCUCGGUGUCUUCGGCUUCAUUCUCUUUUGAUCAUCUUCAGUUUCCGUAGCGUGUGAGGAGUAGUUUGGUGUUGUCCAUCGUUUAUGUAUCUUACCGCCGUGUUGUUCUUUCUUUUGCAUGAGGGCGUUUGCUUGUAAUCUGCCAGUUGAUGGCUUUGUUAAUUCAAAAUCGGGCUAGGCUCGAGCCCCAUCUCAGGCUCGGCUGAUGCCUUUUGUCUAAAAAAUGUUAAACAACAAUUAGCACACCAGAAUUUUAUCCUCGGUGUUAUGUUAUUUAUGGUCAGCAUGUGUGAUGUGGACUGAAGUAUUUUUUACUGAUGAUGUGUGUUUCAUA